AUACGUAGGGGGCGAGCGUUGUCCGGAAUUACUGGGCGUAAAGGGUGCGUAGGUGGCACUUUAAGUUGGAUGUGAAAUCCCCGUGCUUAACAUGGGAGCUGCAUCCAAUACUGGAGAGCUAGAGUGCAGGAGAGGUAAGCGGAAUUCCUAGUGUAGCGGUGAAAUGCGUAGAUAUUAGGAGGAACACCAGUGGCGAAGGCGGCUUACUGGACUGUAACUGACACUGAGGCACGAAAGCGUGGGGAGCAAACAGGAUUAGAUACCCUGGUAGUCCACGCUGUAAACGAUGAAUACUAGGUGUAGGGGGUAUCAACUCCCUCUGUGCCGCAGCAAACGCAAUAAGUAUUCCGCCUGGGGAGUACGGCCGCAAGGUUGAAACUCAAAUGAAUUGGCGGG
rnacentral:rRNA from 1 species